rnacentral:misc_RNA from 1 species
AAAGUCGUAACAAGGUUUCCGUAGGUGAACCUGCGGAAGGAUCAUUACAGUGUUAGGCUUCGGCCUCAUUCACACCCCUUGUUUAACCUCUGGUUUCUUUGGCGAUGUCAAUCGUCAAACUUUAACUCUGAUAAUGUGGUACUGUCCAAGUCCAAUUGAAUUAUCAAAACUUUCAACAACGGAUCUCUUGGUUCCA